AGUGAACGCUGGCGGUAGGCCUAACACAUGCAAGUCGAACGGCAGCACAGUAAGAGCUUGCUCUUACGGGUGGCGAGUAGCGGACGGGUGAGGAAUACAUCGGAAUCUACUUUUUCGUGGGGGAUAACGUAGGGAAACUUACGCUAAUACCGCAUACGACCUACGGGUGAAAGCAGGGGAUCUUCGGACCUUGCGCGAUUGAAUGAGCCGAUGUCGGAUUAGCUAGUUGGCGGGGUAAAGGCCCACCAAGGCGAAGAUCCGUAGCUGGUCUGAGAGGAUGAUCAGACACACUGGAACUGAGACACGGUCCAGACUCCUACGCGAGGCAGCAGUGGGGAAUAUUGGACAAUGGGCGCAAGCCUGAUCCAGCCAUACCGCGUGGGUGAAGAAGGCCUUCGGGUUGUAAAGCCCUUUUGUUGGGAAAGAAAAGCAGCAGGUUAAUACCCCGCUGUUCUGACGGUACCCAAAGAAUAAGCACCGGCUAACUUCGUG
rnacentral:rRNA from 1 species